GUGCUCACUUCAGCAGUACAUAUGCUAAAAUUGGAACGAUACAGAGAAGAUUAGCAUGGCCCCUGUGUAAGGAUGACAUGCAAAUUCAUGAGGCCUUCUGUAUUUUU